rnacentral:rRNA from 1 species
GACGAACGCUGGCGGCGUGCCUAAUACAUGCAAGUAGAACGCACAGUUUAUACCGUAGCUUGCUACACCAUAGACUGUGAGUUGCGAACGGGUGAGUAACGCGUAGGUAACCUGCCUGGUAGCGGGGGAUAACUAUUGGAAACGAUAGCUAAUACCGCAUAAUAUUGAUUAUUGCAUGAUAAUUGAUUGAAAGAUGCUAUUGCAUCACUACCAGAUGGACCUGCGUUGUAUUAGCUAGUAGGUGAGGUAACGGCUCACCUAGGCGACGAUACAUAGCCGACCUGAGAGGGUGAUCGGCCACACUGGGACUGAGACACGGCCCAGACUCCUACGGGAGGCAGCAGUAGGGAAUCUUCGGCAAUGGACGAAAGUCUGACCGAGCAACACCGCGUGAGUGAAGAAGGUUUUCGGAUCGUAAAGCUCUGUUGUAAGAGAAGAACGGGUGUGAGAGUGGAAAGUUCACACUGUGACGGUAUCUUACCAGAAAGGGACGGCUAACUACGUG